rnacentral:rRNA from 1 species
GGGUUUGAUCAUAGUCUGGUUAAUGGUGCCGGCGGACCUUUACGGCUGCAAGUCGAACGGCAGCACGGACUUCGAAUUCUGGUGGCGAGUGGCGAACGGGUGAGUAAUGUAUCAGACGUGCUGCAAUAUGGGGUUAACUACGCAGCAUCGCUAUGUCUACUAUACAUGUCGAAGAGGAAAGCAGGGGACCUUCCCGGGCCUCGCACUAUUGGAAGCGGCCGAUAUCGGACUAGCUAGUUGGUGGAGCAGCGGCUCGCAAAGGCGACGAUCCGUAGCUUGUUUGAGAGGACGACCAGCCACACUGGGACUGAGACCUGGCCCAGACUCCUACGGGAGGCGGCAGUGGGGAAUUUUUGGAUGAUGGGGAAACCUGAUCCAGCCAUCCCGCGUGUGCGAUGAAGGCCUUCGGGUUGUAAAGCACUUUUGGCAGGAAAAAAACGGCACGGGAUAAUACCCCGUGCAACGACAGUACCUGCAGAAUAAGCACCGGCUAACUACGUGCCAGCAGCCGCGGUAAUACGUAGGGUGCAAGCGUUAAUCGGAAUUACAGGCGUAAAGCGUGCGCGGGCGGUUCGGAAAGAAAGAUGUGAAAUCCCAGAGCUUAACUUUGGAACUGCAUUUUUAACUACCGAGCUAGAGUGUGUCAGAGGUGGAAUUCCGCGUGUGGCAGUGAAAAUGCGUAGAUAUGCGGAGGAACACACCGAUGUGAAGGCAACCUCCUGGGAUAACAUGGCUAACCAUGCACAAAAGCGUGGGGAGCAAACAGGAUUGGAUAUCUGGUAGUCACGCCCUAAACGAUGUCAAACUAGCUGUUGGGCCUUCCGGGCCUUAGGCGGCGCAGCUAACGUGAAGUUGACCGCCUGGGGAGGCUACCCGGUCGCAAGAUUAAAACUCAAAGGAAUUGACGGGGACCCGCAAGCAGUGGAUGAUGUGGAUUAAUUCGAUGCAACGCGAAAACCUUACCUACCCUUGACAUGUCUGGAAUCGAAGAUUUAGGAGUGCUCGCAAGAGAACCGGAACACAGGUGCUGCAUGGCUGUCGUCAGCUCGUGUCGUGAGAUGUUGGGUUGGUCCGCGGCGAGCGCAACCCCUUGUCAUUGGUUGCUACGAGGAGCCUCUAAUGGGCUGCAGUGACAAACCGGAGGAAGGUGGGGAUGACGUCAAGUCCUCAUGGCCCUUAUGGGUAGAGGCUUCACACGUCAUACAGUGGAAUGAGAGGGUCGCAAACUUGCAGAGAGCCAAUCCCGAAACCCGAUCGUAGUCGGAUCACCAGUCUGCAACUCGACUGCGUGAAGUCGGAAUCGCUAGUAAUCGCGGAUCAGCGUAUUCGCGGUGAAUACGGGUGCCCGGGUCUUGUACACACCGCCCGUCUACACCAUGGGAGUGGGUUUUACCAGAAGUAGUUAGCCUAACCGUAAGGCGAUUACCUAUAAUCCAGGUUAAGCUACAGGGGUAAGUCGCUCGGGUAA